AUUGAACGCUGGCGGCAGGCCUAACACAUGCAAGUCGAGCGAGCGGCGGACGGGUGAGUAAUGUCUGGGAACCUGCCUGAUGGAGGGGGAUAACUACUGGAAACGGUAGCUAAUCACGCAUACACUCAGAGGUGCCCAGAGGGGAUUAGCUAGUAGGUGGGGUAACGGCUCACCUAGGCAACGAUCCCUAGCUGGUCUGAGAGGAUGACCAGCCACACUGGAACGGAGACACGGUCCAGACUCCUACGGGAGGCAGCAGUGGGGAAUAUUGCACAAUGGGCGCAAGCCUGAUGCAGCCAUGCCGCGUGUGUGAAGAAGGCCUUCGGGUUGUAAAGCACUUUCAGCGGGGAGGCGUUACCCGCAGAAGAAGCACCGGCUAACUCCGUGCCAGCAGCCGCGGUAAUUC
rnacentral:rRNA from 1 species